AGAGGGUGCGAGCGUUAAUCGGAAUUACUGGGCGUAAAGGGCGCGUAGGCGGUUUAAUGAGUGUGAUGUGAAAGCCCUGGGCUUAACCUAGGAAGUGCAUCGCAAACGAUUAAACUGGAGUAUAAGAGAGGGUGGCGGAAUUUCCGGUGUAGCGGUGAAAUGCGUAGAGAUCGGAAGGAACGUCAAUGGCGAAGGCAGCCACCUGGCUUAAUACUGACGCUGAGGCGCGAAAGCGUGGGGAGCGAACAGGAUUAGAUACCCUGGUAGUCCACGCUGUAAACGAUGAGAACUAGAUGUUGAUUGGGGAACCAAGCAGUAUCGAAGCUAACGCGAUAAGUUCUCCGCCUGGGAAGUACGGCCGCAAGGUUG
rnacentral:rRNA from 1 species